UACGUAGGGUGCAAGCGUUAUCCGGAAUUAUUGGGCGUAAAGCGCGUGUAGGCGGCCAGAAAAGUCCGCUGUGAAAACUCGAGGCUCAACUUCGAGCUGUCGGUGGAAACUUUCUGGCUAGAGUCCGGAAGAGGAGAAUGGAAUUCCUGGUGUAGCGGUGAAAUGCGCAGAUAUCAGGAAGAACACCCGUGGCGAAGGCGGUUCUCUGGGACGGUACUGACGCUGAGACGCGAAAGCGUGGGGAGCGAACAGG
rnacentral:rRNA from 1 species